CCGCGUCUCAUUAGCUAGCUGGUAGGGUAAUGGCCUACCAAGGCAACGAUGAGUAGCUGGUCUGAGAGGAUGAUCAGCCACACUGGAACUGAAACACGGUCCAGACUCCUACGGGAGGCAGCAGUGGGGAAUAUUGCGCAAUGGGCGAAAGCCUGACGCAGCAACGCCGUGUGAGGGAUGAAGGCUUUCGGGUCGUAAACCUCUGUCGGAAGGGAAGAACGGGUGAGGGUCUAAUAGGCCUUUAUUUUGACGGUACCUUUAGAGGAAGCACCGGCUAACUCCGUGCCAGCAGCCGCGGUAAUACGGAGGGUGCAAGCGUUAUUCGGAAUUACUGGGCGUAAAGCGCACGUAGGCCGUUUUGUAAGUCAGGGGUGAAAUCCCACGGCUCAACCGUGGAACUGCCU
rnacentral:rRNA from 1 species